UGUGCAGAUACAGUUAGAGUAGAUUAGAGACUACCGGAGUGGCAUUCCUGUAGAAUAAAUUUAGAUCGAAAUAGGCUCCGAUGACGAUCCUCCAACGAUCAAGUCCCGAUCGAAAUUAGCUCCAAUAAAGAUUUUUUGAUGAUCAAAUCAAAAAUCUGAUGCAACAGAGUAGAAGAAGAGAAAAUCAUAAGAGGGUACAAACAUGACGGGC
rnacentral:lncRNA from 1 species